UGUCUGGGGUCUGGGAGGAAGGCCUGAUGGCAAUUCUUUGCUUGAAAGACAGAAACAGAACAUUGUUUCUACAGGCUUUGAUUUAAUGGCCAAAAACAGUUAUAGGAAACUGUUGAGCAGAUGUUCUAUAAAACUCAGAAAAGAUUGGGUCUUUGAGAAGGGCUAUUUUUAGACAAAUGCUUCCUACCAUGGAGGGGUUCGGUGCUCACAAAAGGGACAGAAAUCUAAAAAGAGAGAGAGAGAGAGAGAGAGAGAGAGAGAUGCACACAUGCUUGGAGGGAGCUUUGAACAUUUUGAUGACCACAUCUUACUUUUCCUUCCAUUUUUAAUAUUUUAAUAUGAAUUAAACAUAUUUGGGAACCUACAGAGAACGGAGUGUGGGUUGUAGAGCAGGAAGAGGGGUUUUGUGUUAGAUUUUCCUUUAUAAGGUGAGGAUUUGCCAAGUGUCAGAAAAUCUAUGUUUUGUCACAUUCUCCCCCUCCUGCUUAGCGUUCCAGCAACAAUCUGGUUUUCCUUGGCCACUUUACAUUCUUGCUUCCCUUUGCCUGAACGAAUCUUUUCUCCUCUCAUCCAUCCCUGCCUUCCUUGACCUCUGCCUCUUUUGGUCUAAGUCUUCAUUUUGUCCUGGGGCAGGCACCUCCUCCUCCAGGAAGCCUUCCCUGAGCUCUCUGUGAUGAACCUGAACUGAUGUCAUCCUCCAUUGCACUUCCGACAGGGCCGUGACUACUCUGCUCAUUGCAUCUGCUUCCUUUCUGUUUCAGAUUCAUUCUUAGGCUGGAAGCUCUAUGAUGUUGCAGACUAUGUCCUCAUGACCUUUCUGCAGUCGCCACUUAGCACCGGUUAGCACAAUAAUAAACGCAGCGAGUAAAAGUUGAAUACAUGGAUAGGAGAAGGAAGAGGGUGAGCAAUUUGGGAGAUUUUAAUCCAAGCCGAUGAAGUUGCAUUUCACCUGUAGGAGCAAGAAUCCAUCCUUUUUAUCUCUGCUGUUCAAAUCAAACCCAAAUCUGUUACUAACACAAGAUAACCAAAUAAUCCCCAUAAUGUGAGGUGGUUAGUACUAUUUUAAGGAAAUUGAGGUUUUGGGACAAUUAAUUAAAGAGCUGCCAUGUGAAAGCAUUCAGAUUCAGGUAUCUUUUAAUUUCAAGUCUUUUGUUUUCUUCACUCUGUGAGGGAAAAUAAUUUUCUUGGGGGAAGAACUCCAAGACAGUACAGGAUGUGUGUCCCUAGGAAAGAUCCCCCAUUAAGGGACAAGGUACAGAAAGGAGAGGUGGGGAAAUCUCAGAGAGCAUGCUUACUGCUACUUCUGGGGCCACAUCCAGCUGGAAUAAGAGGAUAAUCCAGGCUGGCCCAGUGAAGAGCAGCAGAUGACCUUCUACUUUCUCUCUCAUUCUCAGGCCUCUGGCCAGUGUCUCAAAGUCAGGUGAAGAGCCAAGGCCAACAUCUCCAACUUUCUGGCAAGGCCUGGACACCCGUCUUCAGGACACCAGUUCUCCUCCUUUGCUCUCUCCUUCCAGUGGUCACCCUGGCUUCCCCAGCCUUGCUGAGCCCUUUACAGAGAAACUGAUUGAGGGUUAGCUGCUGAGGAUGGAACCCAGGGCCUUGCUCAUACCAGGCCACACCCCAUGCUUUUCCAGAGGUGUUUGACAAAGUCCUUGUGAGGCUUUACCUCCAUGGACCCCUUCCCUCCUGAUCUUUGUGCACUCCCUUUCUUCCCAAAGUUCUCUGCUUUUCUCCAGGACUCUUCAUUAGAUUUCUUAUCCUGACCACUAAGGUCUGCAGGCAAAGAUGGGAGACAUUCCCCCCUAAGGUAAAGCAUCCUCAAAGCAAAAGAACUGCUGACAAGUGUGGAAUGUCAAGAGUGUUCCUGGAAACAUGCAAACAGCAUGCACAGUCCCUCCCACCCUUUUAUCUACAGUUUCAACAUCCUCAGUUGCAGUUACCCAUUUUCAACUGUGGUCCAAAAAUAUUAAAUAGAAAAUUUCAGAAAUCAAAAAUCUAGAAGUUUUAAAUGACUUGUGUUGCAGAAUGUGUUAUUACAAUUGUUCUAUUUUAUUAUUAGUUUGUGUUGUCAAUCUCUAAUUGUGCCUAACUUAAAAAUUCUAUCUUAUCAUAGGUAUGUAUGUACAAGAACGAGUAUACUAUAUAUAUAGGGUUUGUUGCUAUCUGUGAUGUAAGGUUUAUUCUGUGGAUAUGGGGUUCUUUCUCUAUUAGAAAGAACUAGCCAAGUAUUUUUUUUUUCCAGGCUUUUAAUUAGGGCUACUGCUAAGCUACUUUAUUUUCUUUUUUACUUGUCUUCUGUCUUUGAGUCAUCAAUACAGAGAUCAGAACAUAUCUGGUGAAGACUUCUGCUGGGUUAUGUUAUGCUGUGGUAACAAGAGUCAAACUUCAGUAUCUUGAAGCAACAUUCACUCCAGCUCCACCAUCACUGUAGUUGGCAGGGGGCUUGGUUCUAUGGUGUCAGAAGUACUCUGGACUCCAGGCUCAUAAGCAGCUCUUACCUGACACAUGCCAGAGAGAGAAACAGAAUGGCCAAAGCUCUUCAGUGGUCCUCUGCCAGAAGUGACCCUGUUGGAAUUUCAUCACUUCUAUGGACAUCUCAAUUUUAGAACAAGGAAGUAGGAUCGUGCAGUGUGUUUAGAUUCAGAAUAACUUAUGCAAUGAACAAGUUUUGAUGUGCUUAAUAUUGGGUUAGGUUUUGUUGAAAAAAAAAACAACAACAAAUCAAACAUGAGUCUGAAACUUGUUGUGGAGGAACUUUUUCUGUAGUUAGGGAACUAGGAUUCCUCACACCUCAAUGCCUAAAACACAUGAUAAGUUGGUCUAAAGUAAUGCACACUGCCAAGUCACAUAGAGAGGGACAGUAGAAUUUCAGGUAAGCUGUUGGCAAGCCCUGAGAAGGCAAACAAGGAGAAUCUGAUCUGGAAAAAAAUGCACUAGCUAGUGAGAUGUUUAAGUAGAGCAAUUAUAUACAUUUCAGGGAUGAGUGAAUCCUUAGAGUUGAUAGAGUUAGAUUCCUUAACCCUUUCUCAGCUAAGUCUUUAGUUGCCUUCACUAAAAAAAAAAAAAAAAAAAAA